UACAGAGGGUGCAAGCGUUGCUCGGAUUUACUGGGCGUAAAGCGUACGCAGACGGUAAGGAAGGUCGAAUGUGAAAGCCCCGGGCUCAACCCGGGAAAUGCAUCCGAAACCACCUUGCUCGAGUAUGAGAGAGGGAAGCGGAAUUCCUGGUGUAGAGGUGAAAUUCGUAGAUAUCAGGAGGAACAUCGGCGGCGAAGGCGGCUUCCUGGCUCAUUACUGACGUUCAGGUACGAAAGCGUGGGUAGCAAACAGG
rnacentral:rRNA from 1 species